UACGUAUGGUGCAAGCGUUAUCCGGAUUUACUGGGCGUAAAGGGAGCGCAGGCGGCGCGCCAAGUCUGAUGUGAAACCCCGGGGCUCAACCCCGGGCAUGCAUUGGAAACUGGCGGGCUGGAGUGCCGGAGAGGUAAGCGGAAUUCCUAGUGUAGCGGUGAAAUGCGUAGAUAUUAGGAGGAACACCAGUGGCGAAGGCGACUCACUGGACUGUAACUGACACUGAGGUACGAAAGCGUGGGGAGCAAACAGG
rnacentral:rRNA from 1 species